UACGAUCUAACUUCGAGAUAAAACCCCUAUCCAUUUGACAUCUAAAUGUCAUAGCGACUUUUGGGAUAGUUUGCUAUGGACAAAGGGGGACAAAGUCAAGGGGUGAGGGGGAAGGAGGGCCCAGUAGAGCCUCUACGACCCUUGGCUGCUUCCUCACCAGCUUCCCCCUCCCCCCAAGUCCUGUAAGAAGUUGGGCCAAGCUGGAAGGGAUUGACCGGGUUGCCUGUUGUGAGAUGGAGCCGCAAAGGCAGGGCCUGGGCGCCUGGAGUCCGGCAUGAAAGGAAAUAGCGCCUCAUCGCUCUUAUCUAAGCCCAGAGCCGCCGCCUCCUCGCCCUCGCGGGCCUCUACGAAGAUUCCAGGCCCUCCAGAGACCAGUACGUCCCUCAGCGCCACCGCCCCCUGUGCCAGGGCCGCCCGGAAACCG